GCAUGCAUGUGCAUUUGAGUCUGUGUGUGAUUGCACCAGGGAGGGAGGAUUAUAGUUGUUGAACAUACACACGCAAAUGAGCGGCGGGCCCGACUGGUCUGCAUGGUGUGUGUGUGUGUGUGUGUGUGUGUGUGUGUGUGUGUGUGUGUGUUUCAGUGUUGUAAUAAAGCCAGCAGUGUUUUACUAGCCCACUGACACAGAGCAUAAAAAGAUCAGUGGGCCAAAUCCAUUAGUAGCAUAAUUGCAUUACAUGGUAAAUAUUCCUAAAAGGUCAGUAUCUCCAUCUGAAACAUCAUCAUCACAGAGAGCUGCAGUACAAUCAGGAAUUCUGGUGUUUUACAUGAGUUAGAUUAAAUAAUUGCCAGUUGUCUGCAUCUGUUGUAGGGGGAGAGUUGGCCAGCAGGACUGAUUUUCCACUUCAGGGUGAUUCAGCCUCAGCCUCUGGCAGUCUAACAGAUGAUCUUACACCGUGUGAGUGUCUGAUGUUUCGUUUUAAUGCCCCAAAACACAAAAAAUCUCCUGACCGGCGCUGCCUCUGUUACCCAAAGCUGAAUGACUUAGAUCCAGUUAAAACACAUCCACCAUGUGAAACACUGUGCAGACCCCCGGUGAGGGAAACUUAUCUCAAAUAAUUACCCCAAAAACGAUGAAAAUUAAUCUGGAGUUAAUUCAACUUGAACAUGUUGUCUUUGAAUUACUGAGGAUUAUAAUCUAUAGAUACCAUGUUAGUUAAUUCAUUGAAAAGGUCCAAUGGCUGAGUGGAAAUGAGAAGUUUCAAUGUGCAGCACAUAGUGUGGGCAGUUGAGAGACAGUUUGAGGAAAAGCAAAAUUCAAGUUGCAACAGAUGUAAAGCAAUCCUGGAAUGCUCUAGUUUUUUAUUGUGUUAGUAUAUGGAGUUUCAGUUUUCACUUAUGACAAGUUUCAUUCAACUUCAGCCUUUAUUCAUAGCAGGUUUGUAUUGAGGCCUUGAAAGAAUCCCGCCUGACUUGUCAAAAAAACUGUAAAACAAACAAAUGAUCAUUAAAAGUGAUUAAAAAUGGCUUCUGAGUGGCAGAGCGCUGAAUGACAAAGCAAUACUGAGGUGAUGUUCAUUGUAAAGUGAAUAAACUAAAAACAUAACAUUUUGCAGGCUAUUAAACAUAAGUCCUUAAAUUAUUUACGUAUGUUCAAUUUUAAAAUUAAAAGUUAUAAAAAUAACUGAUUCUAUCAAAAUAUUUAGACCAAAAUUUAAAUGAAGAUGUCUCAAUUAACUUUAACUGUGAUUUUUUUUGUUUUUUUUUUUUGUGCCCGGUAUCCUGCAGAUAUGUUUAACAGGUUGUAUUAUAAAUUACUUUGUCAAACGUAAGAACUGUCAACAUGUUUCUGUCAUGGAGCAAAACUUUAAGUUUGUGUCCAAAUGUAAUUAUUUCAGAAAACAAUAUUUGUUUUAUUCUUAUUAAUAAUAAGAAUAAUUUAAACCUAUAUUUGAAAGCUUAAACAAACAAUGUAGCAGCAAUGGAGAAAAAUAUGUAUAAUUUUGUUACUGAACUAAGUCAGCCAUCUCCGACUGAUCUGAAUCAAGAUUUUAGACCAAUCAACAGUGUCAAAUCACUCGCCCACUUUCUGCACUGCUUUAAACUAAGAAAGGGCUGAUAUCACACACAGACCAAAGCAAGUGGAUGGUAGUCAGAGAAAUAAGCUUAAAAUCCGAAACGCACAACACCACACAGAGGCAGCAAAGAGAACAUACUGUACUGUCUACACAAAAAAACACGCGCACGUACAGCCUCCAGGCUAUUGUCCUCCACAUUUAGGUCACGGCGAAACUAACAGCUUCACACACACACUUACACACAUACUCUCCCCAGGAGGCUCUCCUCACCUGCAAAGAGGCCAGUUUGGACACAGUGUCAAAGAUUAAACCUGUGUUUUAUCUCUGUAAGGGGGGAAUGCUUCAGGGAGUGUGUGCUAGCAUGUGUGUGUGUGUGUGUGCUCACUCAGUCCCUUUAAACCAGAGGGCAUGAAGGGGGGGUCACCAGAGAAUACACCUUUCCCCGUUGCACGCACACAUACAGCUGCCCUUCUCUGUGUGCUCGGUCAAGUAGAAAGGUGGAUCUGUGUCAGGUAGCAAGGGUAUUUACUGUUACUGAGACAAGCAGGCCCAGAAAACAGCAGCACUGCCAAGGGAGGCAGGGACCGGGGCCCAGACGAAGGAGAGAAAAGAAAGAAAAGAGUUGACCGGGACGGAAACUGAGAGGUGAAGGAGGAACCGGCCAUGGAAAAUAACAAAUGCAUGGGUGCAUAUGCAAAUAGAGAAGCUGGUAAUUUAUUCAAAAAAGCUCACUCUGUAAAACUCUCUGUACAUUAAAGAAAAAAUAGUAGUCUCUUUUUUGUGUUUAAGCUGAACAACAGAUGGCUAAAACAUAAAAGUAUCCCAUUCAAUAUCACAUAAAUUCGACAAGCCAAUCCUAAAAUCAUGGUUACAAAAUAUUUAACCAUAACCUAAUACUUAUGAUGAUACUAUGUAAAAUACAGACACUAAAAACCUGCUGAUACAAAUGGAAGCUGAAAAAUGUUUCUUCAUAAGAAGUUAAAAAAAAAACUUUUUUUGCAGUUGUACAUUUUUUUAUUUUUUUAUUUUUUGCACAUGUUGAACUCUAUUUACACCCCAUAUACUCAAGUUUAUGUGCUCUUUACAUUUCUUACAUAUUUUCUCUUGUAUCAGAUUAAAUCAGAUUUUGAUUGUGAUACAAUUUUAUGUAAUGCCUACAUCUAAUAUAAUGGUAGUAAAAUUAUUUUUUUAGUAACAAAUGCGAAACUUUUUACUCUUAUCGUGAUUAUCCAGCAUAAUUGUCAAGAUGUGCUCAUUUUGGCAUUUGGAUAAGCUUUGUUAUGAUUUUAAGUACUAUAGUAUAAAUAGCUGAAAUUUUGAAAGCUUUAUCUGAGUUAGCACACACUUUAUUUGUGAGCUGUAAUAUACAAAUAUAUGCUAAUGACAACAGAAGUAUAUAUUUAUAUUCUAAAAUCAACUCGCUCUAGAUAAGACAGCAUGCUUAUAGCUGCAAUUCUAGUUAUAAAUUAAUCAAUUCAAAGUAUAAAAAGCUCUGCACAGUAUUAUUUUUUAUUUAAUUAGAACAUUUUAUUCUGUACAUUGUAAGUUUCUGUAAAGACUUGAAAGCAUGGUUUAUAAAUGAUCUGACCGAACUUGGCAUUUUACCGUAGAAAACAAGACAUUAGUUCACCUUACUAAGGUUGUUUCCCAAGGAUGUAUUUUGGCAUCCAUUUUAUUCUCUGUUUUUAUCAUGGUGUUGGAACUAAAUGCAGCCAAAAUAGAUUUAGACGUCAAUGCCAGAGGCAUUGAUAUUGGCUGUUACGCUUUUUCAGAAAGCUUUUCAGUCACUACAACAAUCUCAGCAGGAGCUAAAAAGUGUUUUGAAAUCCACGAAGACAAAACUUAUGACUUUCAUUUGCUCUCAGGUCAAGUUAACUGAUCCCAGCCGUUACAUUAGAUGGAUCGACUAUAAAAUAAGUUGCUUCAUGCAAAUAUUUAGGAAAAGUAUCUCUUGAUAGUAAUGCUGGUCAUCAACAAAUCAAAGCUUAGAUGUGAACUAAUUUAAUGCAAUAUAAAAGGUAUUUUCCCUUAAGCAAAUUUAUCUAAAUUGAAUUAUUGUUAGCAUUAUUAGUAUUAUUAGUACCAUUUUUUUCUUUGAAACACAGAUAUGAUUGAAAAUAAACAACAGCAAAAGUCCUAAGCAAUCCCUGAACAGUGAAAAGAAUAUAAGCACCAUUCAUCUCAAAUAAGCAUUGAUGUUCCUGUUUCUUAUUCUCUGUCUGUCUCUUUGUUUAUUUUGUUUAUUAUUUCUGCUCAGUUACCACGCGGCCUGGUGAGCGAGGGACCACAGGUGCCUGGGUGAAUCCGACGGACAUCCGUAAUUUAUCAUUCAUACGCCGGUGACGGCAGGCCAGGCCGAAAUAUGGCACGGUAAAAAGCUUCAGAUGCAACUGCAGCGAUAUGUUUGAAGCUAAAAGUCCAUCUGUUUACAACAUGCCGAGAAGAAGGAUGUGAAACGAAGGAGGAGACGGUCGCCGUGACAGGAGGAAGCCGACUGAAUCUCAGGAUGCAAAACUCAACAAUUAGACUGACUCACACAGAGUGGUGUGUCCACAGUCUGUGUUCUGCAGCUACAUAUAGUGCGGUCAUACGUCGAAGUAGCAGUUCAGCCAAACUGGAAGCAAGAAAUCAGAGUGGAGACACACACACACACACACACACACACACACACACUGCCAGCUCAGCUCUGGCCACCUUUAACAGGGACUAUUCUGCAUAAACUCACACUGAAAACACACAACUGAUGUAAGUAAUGACAGGUAACACUGACGAAUGGACACAUAAGUAAUCUAUGUGUGUGCGUGUGUGUGUGUGUGUGUGUGUGUGUGUGUGUGUGUGUGUGUGUGUAUAUGUCUCUGUGUGUGUGGUAUAUAAAGCCAGUCUGUAAUCCAGUGGCCUAUAUAAAUAAGCUUUGUAGUGUAUAAACAGUUUUAUGUACAAGCCUUCAACAUAAUAAGAGAGCUGAGCUACAUGUGCAGCCCCUGUGUGUGUGUGCAUGCCUCGGAACAGACACUCACACACUCACACAAAGUGAGCGGCCAAAAACAGCAGCUUUCCCUCUCACCACCAAGAAGUAAAUGUAGCGUGGAUGUCGAGGCACUUGCAUAAACACAAAGAGCCGGAUCAAUAAACAAUCCUCCAUCACAGAGAGCGGGUCGACCUGACGUCACCGACACGCCGCCACCACCGCGGGGAAAUAAUCCUCCUCCUUCCAACGUCUCAUCCUGCCCCGUCACUGUUUGGGGAAAGUUUGCCAGCCAGCCAAAAAAAAAGCGUGGAGAUCUUUCCUUUUUUUUUAUUGUUGUUUUGUUUUCUUUUUUAACACAUCUGUCAUCAUCACUGACCGUUGUUGCUGUUUUGGUGCGUCAGCGCCGCGCUUCUCAGAGAACAGCCGUCAGUCAGAACGUGUGGGCAGUCUGACGUCUUUUCCUUGGGAUUUUUUUUUUAAGUCGUUUCUUCAUCAUCGUGGUGGUGCUGUCCAUUUCCUGCUCUGCUUCUAUUUAUUCCAAACCCAGAAAAAAGGCAUCAUUUCCAGCAUGGCAUGGGCUGGUAGGAGAUCUCACUGAAUAUUAAUCUGAUAUGAAAAGACUUUAUGGCAUUAAAAUAUAAUCUAAUAACUUGUGCACGGGGUUUUCCUGCUUCUAAAAGAUCGAUACAUUUAUAAUUUUAGGAUUGAUUUAAUUUAUUCGUAGAUAAUUAGUAGAAAAACACGUUCAUGAGACGAUUAUCGUAUUUGUCAUGCUGCUUUUCAUAGAGUAACACAUUAACAAAGAUUUUAGCCGGUUCGCUAUGGAAGUCGGCUGCUGAACAGACGUCCGGCUCGAACCAUAACAAGACUGACUGAUAGUGACUAUUUAGCUUCCCCAAAAUGGCUGUCUUUUUCGUGACCAAAAAUAUUCCUCAACAUCUAAAUUUGUGUUUUUGUAAGUAACAUGGAACAGUUUCAGAGGCGGCUUUCAGCCUCCUGCCCACCAGUGUGCAGCAGCAGCUUUGCUCUAUGCUUCAUAUAGCCAAAGAAAACUCUGCUGAUCUCAUUUAAAGGUUUUUGAACCACAUGAACAGAACCGCGGAACAUUUUAGCAGUUUCGCAACGUGGCUUUAUGACUGUAUUACAUUACACUUCUGUACUUUUCACAUGACGUUUUGUAAAUUUUCAAGUCAAAAUGGAAAAUCUCCACACACUUUUAGCCAUCUGACUAGCAAUGCACAGAAACAUGGUGUAAUGUUACAGCUUCAUUUCUCAGCCAGAGAACAUUUCACUCUGUCUUCUUCUCUCGCAUGUCAUUGGAAGGCCCUAUAAAACUUACAAUUGAAAAUUCAUAUGACUCUUUUUUAAACUGCAUUUUCUAAAGACUUGAUGUACCAGCAGUCGGCCCUGGUUUUGUUCACCACACCAGGAGCACUUUGCCGUCAGAGUCUGCACUGACAAAUCUGAUUUUCAAGAGCACAACCGGCUGCUAUUUAAUACUGAUACAUUAUUAAUGACUGUUGAUCAUCAAUUUAUCUUCUUUUGCCACGUUAUUUGCCUUGCAUCACUUUCUCUGCAGGAGCAUGAUUUGUUGGAGGAAAAGAAAUACCAAUCAACGCCAUAAGCACAAAAAACACACCAAAAAAA